UACAGAGGUCCCAAGCGUUGUUCGGAUUUACUGGGCGUAAAGGGUGCGUAGGCGGUUGGGUAAGUCUGACGUGAAAUCUCCGAGCCUAACUCGGAAACUGCGUUGGAUACUAUCCGGCUAGAGGAAUGGAGGGGAGACUGGAAUACUUGGUGUAGCAGUGAAAUGCGUAGAUAUCAAGUGGAACACCAGUGGCGAAGGCGAGUCUCUGGACAUUUCCUGACGCUGAGGAGCGAAAGCGUGGGGAGCGAACAGG
rnacentral:rRNA from 1 species